GGACUACUGGGGUAUCUAAUCCGGAUCGCUCCCCACGCUUUCGCGCAUCAGCGUCAGCAAAGCUCCAGGCAACCGCCUUCGCCACUGGUGUUCCUCCCGAUAUCUACGCAUUCCACCACUACACCGGGAAUUCCAUUGCCCCCUAGCUUGCUCCAGCCACGCCGUAUCCGCUGACCCCGCCCAGUUGAGCCGAGCGAUUUCACAACGGACGUGCGUGACCGCCUACGCGCCCUUUACGCCCAAUAAAUCCGGGCAACGCUCGCACCCUACGUAUUACCGCGGCGGCUGGCAC
rnacentral:rRNA from 1 species